UGGUGCACUUCCCGUUCUUAUACUUUUGAUGACCUGCCUUGAUUCCAUGAAUUGCCAAUGUUUUCUUUUCUCCUUGAAAUGUUAUUUGUCGAACUUCUAUUGCAGCUUGCACUGUAUCAAAUCGAAAACUAAGUGUACUAACAGUAGGAGGUCUAAAAAUCAGUUCACUCAUUUGGCCUUACAGUGAUAGAGAACUUUUGGUGGCACCAACGCCUUGGACUAUGCCUGGUAGACCUAAAGAGAAAAGGAUAACAGAAGAAGGAGAAUUUGAAAAUGGAUUCGACGCGUCGAGACAAGGCACAAAAAUUACAAGCCAAUUUGUGCUUCAAGCAAGUGCACAACUCAAAAAUUGUCCAUUGAAACAAAAGAAAACGGAUGGAGAGAUAGUCGGACAAAGAGAAACCAACCAACUUGUCACCGAGAUGCAUCAUAAGGAUGCCACCACGCAAAGCUGCAAAAGGAAACAGUAUGAACAAGAAGCGAGAGAAACAGAAAGAGGAUGAAACUUCUCCCCCAAUUAAGUUGGUGAAUGAAGGACAUUGGAAGUGGUGGAUCAACAGGAUCUCCGAAAAAAGAGGUAAAUCGACCGGCAGUAGCAGUUUAAAGAGUUGGAAGUCUGAUAUGGUCUAGUACCUUUCGAUGGUAUGAUACUCUUCAAUUUAAGAUCAAGACAUGGGGUUUGCUGUAUAUAUUUUCUCCAAGUGUUUAAGA